rnacentral:rRNA from 1 species
UACGUAGGGUGCUAGCGUUGUUCGGAAUCAUUGGGCGUAAAGCGCGUGUAGGCGGUUAAUUAAGUCGGGUGUGAAAUCCCUGGGCUCAACCGAGGAAGGGCAUUCGAAACUAAUUGGCUAGAAGAUGGUAGAGGAAGGUGGAAUUCCAAGUGUAGAGGUGAAAUUCGUAGAUAUUUGGAGGAAUACCGGUGGCGAAGGCGGCCUUCUGGACCGUUCUUGACGCUGAGACGCGAAAGCGUGGGUAGCAAACAGG